rnacentral:rRNA from 1 species
CCUACGGGCGGCAGCAGUGAGGAAUAUUGGUCAAUGGUCGGGAGCCUGAACCAGCCAAGUAGCGUGAAGGAUGAAUGUCCUACGGGUUGUAAACUUCUUUUAUCAGGGAAUAAAGUGAGGCACGUGUGCCUUGUUGUAUGUACUUUAUGAAUAAGGAUCGGCUAACUCCGUGCCAGCAGCCGCGGUAAUACGGAGGAUCCGAGCGUUAUCCGGAUUUAUUGGGUUUAAAGGGAGCGUAGAUGGGUUGUUAAGUCAGUUGUGAAAUUUUGAGGCUCAACCGUAAAAGUGCAAUUGAUACUGGCAUCCUUGAGUACAGUUGAGGUAGGCGGAAUGCGUGGUGUAGCGGUGAAAUGCUUAGAUAUCACGAAGAACCCCGAUUGCGAAGGCAGCCUACUA